ACCGAAUGCAGGGUCCCUCUCCUCCUCCCUGGGACCAAGCAUAAGCGGCGGCACCUCUCCUCCUCCCUGGUGUCGCCGCACCCUAAAAUCGGGCUUCUCU
rnacentral:ncRNA from 18 species